GAUGAACGCUGGCGGCGUGCUUAACACAUGCAAGUCGAACGAGAAAUGAUAUUACGAUCUCUUCGGAGUGACGGUUUUAUUUCGAGUGGCGGACGGGUGAGUAACGCGUGAGCAACCUGCCCUAUACCGGGGGAUACCAGUUGGAAACGACUGUUAAUACCGCAUAAGCGCACGAUAAGACAUCUUGUUGUGUGAAAAACUCCGGUGGUAUAGGAUGGGCUCGCGUAUGAUUAGCCAGUUGGCGGGGUAAAGGCCCACCAAAGCGACGAUCAUUAGCCGACCUGAGAGGGCGACCGGCCACAUUGGGACUGAGACACGGCCCAAACUCCUACGGGAGGCAGCAGUGGGGAAUAUUGCACAAUGGGCGAAAGCCUGAUGCAGCGACGCCGCGUGAGUGAGGAAGUAUUUCGGUAUGUAAAGCUCUAUCAGCAGGGAAGAAAGAAANGACG
rnacentral:rRNA from 1 species